rnacentral:tRNA from 1 species
GCGAGUGUGGCGGAACUGGUAGACGCGCUAGACUUAGGAUCUAGUGCCACCCGGCGUGGGGGUUCGAGUCCCUCCACUCGCA